ensembl:lncRNA
CCUUUGUUCAACUGCGGCCUUGAGAUUCCAGAAGUAUCCUUCCUUUGCGAUCCUGAAUUAUUUCAGUCCAAGGACGGAGUCCCGGACCUCUUUCACUGUGUGGCACGUGACGUCCAGGCAAAAGAGGGGUCACUUGACCUGUGUUCCCUCUGUGAUUCCUUCAUUCAUGGAUGGCGUGUGGCUUGUUACAUUGAUGGAAAAGUGUACCUUGCAUGAAUGACCUGAGGGGAUUUUUAGGUCCAGUGGUUAGCGGAUUCUGGACCUCUCUGGCUGAGCAUGGGCUUGUUGGAAAUGGAGUGGCGCAAAGGUGUGUGAUUAUUGCUGUGCUACAAGUAUGGUUGACCUGUCGGUGAUAAUGAGACAUUUUGUCAUCUUUUAACCUCUUUUAGCAUUUUUGUCAUUUACACCUGUUCAAUUAUUAUUCCAACAUAGCAAUUUGUAGCCGGCUCUGAAAUGCAUAUGAGCUGGUUCUUACCCUCAGCCAAGCUCCCAAAGUUGUGUGGUGAGACAGGUCAUUAGCUGGAUGCCGUGUCUGGUUGGGAUGGGACACAGGAAGCAUCUGUGUCCGCAGCCGUCAUACUCCAAAGUCUGACACCACCAAAGAGACAGAGGAGGUGCCCGUCAGAUUAAUUCACCUUGAGUCAGGAAUAAGCUGGAAUGGUGUCGAUGUGCUGGCAUCCAGUCCUUUCUGGACAAUGACAGACAAUUGGAAAGGCCUAACAGAAAGAUGGUGUUGGCUGUGGACCGUCAUGAGACAAAACCUGACAUUAUCUGGAUAGUGCAGAUGUGCUAUGAAGAGGAACUCUGGUCAAUAGAUGAGUGUCCCACAGAGAGAGAAGUGCAUCCUGUUCCGGCAAAAACCUGCCUAAACCUAAUUUUGAUUGAGGAUUUUGGUCUGAGACAGGGUGUUGUCACUUUAAGACGAGCUGAUCUCUUUUUAAAAGCAGUGUGUUUUUGGAAUAGCAUGAUUUCCGGGGUGAUCAUGUGAUCGGAACGCACCUUUACCCAAGCCACUGAAGUGUUCAAUGCAGCCUUGAGAACAGGUGGUCCUCCUAGGACGUUUACUGUGCUAGUUAUGGACUGAAAACCACAAGAUAAAUUUGUUGCUUCAUCUGCCGAGUAGUUUUCUCCCUGCAGCUAGCACCAGAUCAAGCUUAGAAGAGCAAUGUCUUGAUCGCCUCCAAUUCUGGAUGAUGAUCUGUAAUGUAGGAAUGAAUAAAAGCACAAUUGUGCUUUUCAGGGUUAAUAAUGGUGUGUGCUGGUCAGGGUUAAUAAUGUAGCAGGAUUCUUAGUUUCAAUUAACCUGGACUACAUAGCACUCUCUUCUCUGCCCCUUCUACUCCACAGACGUGAUCAUAACACGCAAUGUGAAUCUUUAUGGAAGUGAAUAAUACCUGUUUUUAGAACAGCAUCCUGCAAUGCUUGUCAUUAAUAUAUAUAUAUAUAUAUAUAUAUUUUGUUCCUCUGUCACAAUUGCUUCUUAAUUCAUUAAGCCUACACAUGUAAGUCUUGUACCAAAUGUAUUAAAAGUUGUUCAGAGUUUUAGACUCUGAGAUGGCAUUGAAGCCCAAAGUAACUUACAGUACAACUCAUUGCAGGCGUUCAAACUCGUGCAACGUCGCCGCCCACGGCUGGUAGCAGAUUAGGGAAGGGCGACAGUGGAUGAGGGAGAAACAGUAGUUGAGGAGUCAGGGGUGGUAUCAGAUUAGGUAGGGGUUGGUAGCGGACAAAAAGAGAUGGCAGCGGAUGACAGAGGGAUGGUAGGGGAUCAGAGAGGGAUUGUAGCAGACGAUGGAGGGGUGGUAGUGGAUGAGGCAAAGGUUGUGGUUUGAUGAGGGAGCGGAGGUAAUGGAUGAAGCAGGGGCAGUAAUGGAUGAGGCCGCCAGGGUUGUAGUGGAUUAAGGAGGGGUGGCAGUGGAUGAGUGAAGGGUUGUAGAGGAUGAGGGAGGGGUGGCAGUGAAUGAGUGAGGGGUUGUAGAGGAUGAGGGAGGGGUGGCAGUGGGUGAGUGAAGGGGUUGUAGAGGAUGAGGGAGCAGUGGUAAUGUGUCUGUGUGUGUCCCUGUGUGUUGGCAGCCUUAGUUUUUGUUCUCUCUAAGUUUUAUAUUCCUGCACUGAGGGGAGUGGUCUUCCUUCUGAAUCCCCCUCCUACUUUUUAACAUAUACCUCACCUUCUGCCUUAGUUCCAAUUUAUUGAAAUGAUUGUAAAUUAGUUUGAAACAACAGACUUCUCCAAUCACUUGUUUCUGAAAAAUGAUGAGGAGUAAGAAUACUAAUAUAUAAAAAAUGGUUUUCCUUUUAUUUUUGUACGUAUGUGCUGUGCACAGAAGUUAACUGUAUUCCUGAAAUGUUAAUAAAAAAUGUUUUAUACGG